UCCGGAUUUAUUGGGUUUAAAGGGUGCGCAGGCGGAUUAAUAAGUCAGUAGUGAAAUCCUGCAGCUUAACUGUAGAAUUGCUAUUGAUACUGUUAAUCUUGAGUACAGUUGAGGUAGGCGGAAUGUAUGAUGUAGCGGUGAAAUGCUUAGAUAUCAUACAGAACACCAAUUGCGAAGGCAGCUUACUAAACUGUAACUGACGCUGAGGCACGAAAGCGUGGGGAGCGAACAGGAUUAGAUACCCUGGUAGUCCACGCUGUAAACGAUGAUCACUCGCUGUUGGCAAUACAUCGUCAGUGGCUGAGCAAAAGCAUUAAGUGAUCCACCUGGGGAGUACGUCGGCAACGAUGAAACUCAAAGGAAUUGACGGGGGCCCGCACAAGCGGUGGAACAUGUGGUUUAAUUCGAUGAUACGCGAGGAACCUUACCUGGGCUUAAAUGCAGAACGACGGUUCCCGAAAGGGAUCCUUCUUCGGACGGACUGCAAGGUGCUGCAUGGUUGUCGUCAGCUCGUGCCGUGAGGUGUCGGGUUAAGUCCCAUAACGAGCGCAACCCCUAUUGUUAGUUGCCAGCGAGUAAUGUCGGGGACUCUAACGAAACUGCCGGUGUAAACCGUGAGGAAGGUGGGGAUGACGUCAAAUCAGCACGGCCCUUAUGUCCAGGGCUACACACGUGUUACAAUGGUCGGUACAGAGGGCAGCUACUUGGCGACAAGUUGCAAAUCUCUAACACCGGCCUUAGUUCGGAUUGAAGUCUGCAACUCGACUUCAUGAAGCUGGAAUCG
rnacentral:rRNA from 1 species